rnacentral:tRNA from 1 species
GCCCAGGUGGCGAAAUUGGUAGACGCAUACCCUUGAGGUGGGUACGCCGUAAGGUGUGGAGGUUCGAGUCCUCUCUUGGGCA